ACGCUCGACACCUACGGAGGCAGCAGUGGGGAAUAUUGGGCAAUGGGCGCAAGCCUGACCCAGCAACGCCGCGUGAAGGAAGAAGGCCCUCGGGUUGUAAACUUCUUUUAUCAGGGACGAAGCAAGUGACGGUACCUGAUGAAUAAGCCACGGCUAACUACGUGCCCGCAGCCGCGGUAAUCUGAGCGGGCUGGCAAGGC
rnacentral:rRNA from 1 species